UCCGUUCUUACGUGAUGUGAUUGCAAAGAAUGACUUCUGCAUUUUUAUAUAUAUAGAUAGUCAACCAUCUCCAAAUAAUCGCACUUAUACUUAUCUCAAUUUCUCUUCUAAUUCGAUGCAUUUGAAACCAUUUACCAUCUCUAUUCACUACGUUGGCUUUAAUGGAUCACAUAAACAUUAGGAUCUUUGAUUGUAGGUCGACAAAACAAUAAGAUAGAGAAAUUGUCCUGUGUGAAUCAAUAUUAAAAUUUUUAAUAUGUUUAUAAUUGAUUACGCCGAAUCGCGCCGCCUCCGCCGCCGAUGUUUUCAGGAAAUAGCGUCACGCCGAUUCGCCGCCGCCGCUAGCCAAAAAGACGUUUCAGCCGCCGAUGUUGACAAUUUUGAUCGGCGCACAGCUCUAUAUAACAAUAGAAAAACUCGACAAUGAUUUCCAGUGUACGUUGGUUGAAUUGUGGUUAUUAGCAUUGAAGAGACUCCUGUCCAAUGAAUUGAAUCAGCAGGUGAAUGGAUGUAUCUCAGUUUUGUUAUCCACUCACUAGACAAGCUACCUGUUUCGUUGGCAGGCAGCCACCAACUAAUGUUGAAAUUGUAAAAUGGCAUAUGUAGGCAUAUACUGUUUCUUGCAUGACGUAAACUCUCCUUAUACCUAUCGAAGCAGAAUUGAGACUAAAUGAAAUUUGAGCAACGAUCGAAACCGUCGGCCGUGCGAGAGAAAUCAAUUCGAUGACAUCUUGAUGACAUGCUGUGAUUGGCUCGUGAAUAAGGUCGAUUCCAACCAAUUUAUCAAUAGUAUACUGGAACGAUGUUGUCAUAUAUGUAUAAGUUAAAUGUUUCCGAAUCGAUUGUUGUUAAUUAAUUGAUUACAUCAAUACAUCAACAAAAGACUGGGUUAUUAUCGUUCGAAAUCAUGACAGAAAAGGUUUCGCGGCUAUUUUUGAAACUUUUAAUUGACACCGUGCUCCGUAUAGUGAAGAGUAAGGCAUUCCUAACGCCAAUAGAAGUCAACACCAUUUUAGGUACAGUGACACAUUGCGGAAUAUCAAUCAACGAGACUUAUUUCACGAAUUUGACUACCGAUGUUCAAAUGGAGGUCGAGCGAAUCGAUCUAUUUAUUCGUUCGAAUUACACUGGAAUCCGUCGGUGGAGAAUGUUACAAGCCGAAGUUUGAGAUUCCGAAUGUUUACUGGGUACAUCCGAUCGAGUCUAGCUACGAGCGAGUUGGUCAUACGCUGCUUUGCUUUACGAUACAGGCUUCAGUACGCCCGUUAACUCACACAUAGAGCGAAAGUUUCACUUCAAGUUUCUAUCCGUAGUUCAAGGAAGGUGUUGGUGUGAAUAGUCAACUACGCAACGGAAACGGAAUCACCCAGAAUGAUGCACUUCUUACCUGUACAGCAGUCCGUGGUGUAAUGAUGAUAUAAGUUGUUCUAUGAUUUAUUGGACCUUGAGCAGUUGUCUCACCACAAUGGUCAUGGCUUGCUAUGCAUUGAUUAUUAUAUACUAGUUUGUACCCACACAUCCACCCUCUUCUAUAAAAAAAAAAUCAGCUUAAUCUAUCUGACAUAUACCGUAUUGACAUGCUUGACAUCACUAGAGCAUAUUUAGGAGAGUGUUUAGUUCUAGAUGCAUAAUUUGUGAAUUGAAAAUUAAAUCUUGAGAUUAUAAUAUAACAGAAAAAAAGAGAACUGUUCGUACAAAUAAAAUUUCCUUACCAGAGAUACGUUUAU